rnacentral:rRNA from 1 species
CCNGNAGGCUUACACAUGCAGUCGAGCGGAGAGAGGUAGCUUGCUACUGAUCUUAGCGGCGGACGGGUGAGUAAUGCUUAGGAAUCUGCCUGUUAGUGGGGGACAACAUUUCGAAAGGAAUGCUAAUACCGCAUACGUCCUACGGGAGAAAGCAGGGGAUCUUCGGACCUUGCGCUAUUAGAUGAGCCUAAGUCGGAUUAGCUAGUUGGUGGGGUAAAGGCUUACCAAGGCGACGAUCUGUAGCGGGUCUGAGAGGAUGAUCAGCCACACUGGGACUGAGACACGGUCCAGACUCCUACGGGAGGCAGCAGUGGGGAAUAUUGGACAAUGGGCGCAAGCCUGAUCCAGCCAUGCCGCGUGUGUGAAGAAGGUCUUAUGGUUGUAAAGCACUUUAAGCUAGGAGGAGGCUACUUUAGUUAAUACCUUGAGAUAGUGGACGUUCCUCCCAAAAUAAGCCCCGGUUAAUUCUGUGCCACCAGCCGCGGUAUUACAAAGGGGGCAGGCGUUAUUCGAAUUUCCGGGGCGUAAAGCGCGCGUAGGGGGUUAAUUAAGUCAAAUGUGAAAUCCCCGAGCUUAACUUGGGAAUUGCAUUCAAUACUGGUUAGCUAGAGUGGGGGAAAGGAGGGGAAAAUUCCUGGUGUAGCGGUGAAAUGCGUAAAGAUCUGGAGGAAUACCGAUGGCAAAGGCAGCCCUCGGGCCUAACCCUGACCCUGAGGUGCAAAAGCAGGGGGAGCAAACAGGAUUAAAUACCCGGGUAGUCCAUGCCGUAAACAAUGUCUACUAGCCGUUGGGGCCUUUGAGGCUUUAGGGGCGCAGCUAACGCGAUAAGUAGACCGCCUGGGGAGUACGGUCGCAAGACUAAAACUCAAAUGAAUUGACGGGGCCCCCGCACAACGGGGGGGAGCAUGUGGUUUAAUUCGAUGCANCGCGAAAAAACCUUACCUGGCCUUGACAUAGAAAAACUUUCCAGAGAUGGAUUGGUGCCUUCGGGAACUUACAUACAGGUGCUGCAUGGCUGUCGUCAGCUCGUGUCGUGAGAUGUUGGGUUAAGUCCCGCAACGAGCGCAACCCUUUUCCUUAUUUGCCAGCGAGUAAUGUCGGGAACUUUAAGGAUACUGCCAGUGACAAACUGGAGGAAGGCGGGGACGACGUCAAGUCAUCAUGGCCCUUACGGCCAGGGCUACACACGUGCUACAAUGGUCGGUACAAAGGGUUGCUACCUAGCGAUAUGAUGCUAAUCUCAAAAAGCCGAUCGUAGUCCGGAUUGGAGUCUGCAACUCGACUGCAUGAAGUCGGAAUCGCUAGUAAUCGCGGAUCAGAAUGCCGCGGUGAAUACGUUCCCGGGUCUUGACACACCGAACAACAU